rnacentral:ncRNA from 1 species
GCCCCACUCAAGGGGUGCUCCUUAAAUACUGUUUUCUAUUACAGGUUUGAAUGAGCUGAGAUUAUACCCAUUUUAAGGUGAAAGGUAAAAGACGGAAGGUAAAAGGUAAUGCAUUUGCAAACCUUAAGCCCUCAAUCUCAAAACCCUAAACCUUAAAUGUACCUGAUCUGGAUAAUGCCAGCGUAGGGAAGAGGUUGAGUUUUACA